UACGAAGGGGGCUAGCGUUGUUCGGAAUUACUGGGCGUAAAGCGCGCGCAGGCGGCUUUCCAAGUCAGGGGUGAAAUCCCAGAGCUCAACUCUGGAAUUGCCUCUGAGACUGUGAGGCUUCGAGUACGGGAGAGGUGAGUGGAAUUCCCAGUGUAGAGGUGAAAUUCGUAGAUAUUGGGAAGAACACCGGUGGCGAAGGCGGCUCACUGGCCCGUUACUGACGCUCAUGCGCGACAGCGUGGGGAGCAAACAGG
rnacentral:rRNA from 1 species